UCAAAAAUGCGUCCUCCUGUG
rnacentral:piRNA from 1 species